AACGAGCCAGCCCGGCAACGCCCAGCCCGGGGGCUGUCCAGACUCCCGACGGGAGGGGAGCUUCCCCUACCUGCUCCAGGCUGUUGGGAGGGCCCCCGCCUCACCAGAAAGUGUUUAGGGGUGGAGAUACGAGGCUUUUGGACAAGAUGGUCACUACUUUUGGGGGGCACUAUAUAAAAUAUAGGUUUUAUGUGGCUUUUGUUCUGCCCCACUCAACAUAGAAACCCAUUUCUUAUUACCCUCGCUCUUUUCAAAAAAAGACAGCAAGUUGUGCAGUUUUAAGCCUGUACCACCACUUGAUUUUUGGCGGGCUAGAGCAGUCGUUCUUAACUUUAGUAUGCAUCAGAAUCACCUGGAAAAGUUCAAAUCUAAAUUUGUGUGCCCCAUCCCCAGAGUUCCCUCACUGCUUCUAAGAUGUUGCCUGAGAAUGUGCAUUCCUAACAACUAGGUGAUGCUGCUGAUGCCAGUCCGAGACCACACUCCUGGGCUGAGAAGGAACCCCAUUGUAUCCUACUGCAGCGGGAACCUUCUGCUUUUCUGUCGGCCUAGACCUCUGUGACCCCUCCACUUCUUAGUAUUCAGACUUCCUUACUAGUCCAAACGUGAAUGGUGCUCAUUUAAGGAUACAUGCCUGCCUGCUCCAGCCUCUGUCUCCUGCAUUUUGUCCUCCACUGUGCCACCAGAGUUAUGGCCAAACAUAAGACUGGCCUUGUUACAUUUUUGCUUAAAAUUUUCUGUGGCUUCCUCCAGAACCCUCACUGGGUCAGUCUGGCCGUUCUGCUUCUGGCCUCAGCCUACUUUUUCUGCCAUAUCUCUCCUAUCUUCCUGAGUGCCCACUGCCCCUCCCAGACGAUACUUCUCAUUCCAGAACACCUCUUACUAGUUCUAACUACCUUGAUCGUGGCCUGUUUAUUUUUUCAGCCUGGAAUGUUCUACCACUCUUCCCAUCUGAAGACUUCUCUUACCGCUUCCCAAGAAUCAAUAGUUCCUCCUUUAUUUUUUCCUUUUUUUUUAACUUCCGGUCCCCCACCCUUUCCAACUCCUUCACUCCAGUAGUUUUGUAAUGCCUGAGUUCAUCACUUAAAUCUUAAUAAAGAUCCAAAUCACCUGGGAUCCUCGUUAAACUGAAGAUUGAGGAGUUGAGGGGUGGAGUCUUGGAUGGCCCCAGUAGAUGCAGCUGGUAUACUUUUGAGUUUGCAGGUUUUAUGGUUUUUCCCUACAAUUACAGUAGCUCUGUAAUUAUUUUUGUUUGUUUGCUGAUACUACCACAUUACGCUGGGAGUUCCUUGAGGUCAUGGGAUAUUUAGGAUGCAUGUGUGUGAACUGGCAUAGCCCGAUACAUAGUGUUUAAUAAAUGUUCAGUAAGUGAACCAGUAUCUGAAGAUGUUUUAAAAUGUAUCAAACUUCAAUAUCGGUUUAUUACAAUCUAAAUGAGCCCCCAUUUUUUUAGGUCCUACUGAACUUCAGCCUCUGCAUUUAACACCCAGGUUUUUUUUUUCCUAGACAUUGACAUUCCUCCUCUCCACAUAGAGGGAACAAGUUUUCAUACAAUGCUAUAGACUAAUAAAGAUUUAUGCCCUCCCAAAGUUGAAAGGUAAUCCCCAGUGUGAUGGUAGUUGAAGUAGGGGCCUGUGGACUGUGGUUAGGUCAUGAGGGCACAGCCCCCUUUAAUAGAAUUAGUGGCCUUAGAAGAGGUCCCAGACUGCUACUUGCCCCUUCCACCAUUGUGAGAACACAGCAAAAAGGUGCCAUCUGUGAACCAGGAAGUGGGCUCUCACCAGACCCUGAAUCUGCUGGUGACUUGGUCUUAGACUUCACAGUCUCCAGAACUAUGAGAAGUAAAUUUCUAUUGUUUGUAAGCCACCCAGUUUAUGAUAUUCUAUUAUAGCAGCCUGAACAGACACAUAGGUCUCUCCUCAAAUACGAGAUUGUGUAUUAAUAGAUGGAGCAGGCUAGAAAAAGCUCCUUUUGCUAGGAGACACUAUUGUUAUACAGCAUAGAAAAAAAUUUUAGUUUCUCUCCUCCCUCCCCACAAAUUCACCUGUUUCCUAUCUCCUGUCCCUAUUUAUGUCAGUCUUUUUUUUUUUUUUUUUUUUAAGGUGGAGUCUUGCACUGUUGCCCAGGCUAAAGUGCAGUAGCACUGUCUCAGCUCACUGCAACCUUCACUUGCAGGAUCAAACAGUUCUCUUGCCUCAACCUCUCGAGUAGCUGGGAUUACAGGCGCACGCCACCAUACCCAGCUGAUUUUUGUACUUUUAGUUGAGAUAGGGUUUUACCAUAUUAGCCAGGCUGAUCUGAAACUCCUGACCUCAAGUGAUCCACCCACCUCAGCCUCCUAUAGUGCUGGGAUUACAGGUGUGAGACACCAUGCCCGUCUGUGUGUAGUCUUUUUAAAAAAUAAUUUAAUCCUCUAAGACACGAUGUAGUUUUAUUGUAAAAGUCAAAUAAUACAAUAAAGGAAAAACCCCUUGAGCACCUACUCUCCUUUCCCAUAAUCCCAGUCCUCUCCUCAGAGGUAACCACUGGUGUCAAUUUGGACUAACAGAAAUACACCUUGGGCAUGUGUUUUGUGUUUGGUUUGGUUUGGUGUUCUGCGUAAUGGUUUUGUGUAGCGUCUUGUAACCUGCUUUUGUGCGCUUAACGAUUGUCCUGGCAAUCUUACCAUAUCAAUAAAUCAUUUCUUACAGUUGC